CUCUACUGAUAUACUGUAUAAACUGUUCUCUUCUCUCUCUGCCUCGUCUACAUCACAGACCAACAACACAGAGAAACGACCCAGAGGACUUAAAGCUGAGACAGACUGAGCACGCUCAGUAGCUGCUACACCUGCAUCGCCUCACACAGCUGACAGACACACAGAACUUUUCUGAUCACAUCAGAUCACAGUUUGAUUUAAAGUCAGCUUCUUCAUCACUCUGAAGAGGAGAUCUCAACACUUCAGGAGGACCAGGAGACCUCAAGAUGGACAUGCUUCUAAGAAGACGGAACGGAGACCUCCCUCCUCAUGUGUCUGAGUUAAUGAACAUAAUUGAAACCAAUAAGGUGCAGGAGAGAACAGAUGAAGUCAGAAGAGCAAGAUAUGUUGCUAGAUUAGUAGGAGCAGUAGCAGGAGGAGUAGGAGCAGCAGUAGGAGUAGUGAUCCUGCUCCUUGCAUCUCCAUUCACUGGGUGGCUUAGCUUAGCAGUAGGAGCGUUAGCAGUAGUAGCAGGAGGAGCUGCAGGAAGAGCUGUAGUAGCAAGAGCAGUAGCAGAAGAACAAGCAGUAGCAGGAGCAGUAGCAGGAGGAGUAGGAGCAAUAGUAGGACUAGGACUCAUGGUCCUUGCAGCUCCGUACACUGGGGGGGGUAAUUUAACAGCAGUAGGAGCGUCAGUAGUAGCAGUAGGAGCACUAGCAGGAAUGUUAGCAGUAGGAGGAGGAAGAUGAGCUGUGGCGGUAAAUUCAAUAAAAAAAUAUGAAAGAUAAUAGAAGUGUAAAUGAAGUAGAAGAACUGAGAAGAGUUCAUGAAGAUCAUAGAAAGGGGGAAGAACAACCUGGAAGAAAUAAAGAGGACGGGUGAGAAGUUGGAGCAAAGAUCAGCUGGAGAUCAGGAUGAAAACACUCUGACAGACAUGGAGGAGUACAAUAGGAGUUUCAGAGGACUCUGUCUAUCCCUGUAAGUAGCGACGGAGGAUUGUCUGCUAUGAAGAAAGUCUUCAAACCUACUGCGUCCCCUGAAGAGGACAGAAAGUUAACAUCUCCAUCAUCCAGUCAGCUGAUCUCUGUCAGGAAGUCAUCGAUGACUUGGAGAAGAUGAAGGAAGAACUCAAAGACUCCACAGAACAGUGAACAUAAACGCUGCAGUGUGAAGAAAGGGAUUGUUUAAUUAUGUUAUUAUAAUUAUUUCCACUAAAUCUGCAGAUUUUGGACACAUUUUAAAUUGUGGACACAGAUGAUCCUCCGAUCCUGUUUAUCUGAAGAAACUCCUUUGUGUUAUUAAUAUGAUAUUUACUUUCUGUGAACAUGCUGCUGCUUAUAAUUCUGUCUGAAACAUGAUUAUGUUUCUGUCAGAUCCAGAGCAGAGAAAACCAGUCUGAUGAACUAUGAAACAUAAAGUGAUGCCAACUGAGAAUAGAUGAGCCGUGUAGUAACGUAGCAGCGCCACAAGAUGGCAGCAGCUGUAUCUGAUGCACAUGUUUCACAAUAAAAGCCUGGAUAGAACCCUGCACAUGUUUCA